UACGGGCGGAGCAAGCGUUGUUCGGAUUUACUGGGCGUAAAGGGCGCGUAGGCGGCCACCGCAAGUCGGUUGUGAAAUCUCUGGGCUUAACCCAGAAAGGUCAACCGAUACUGCGGGGCUAGAGUGCAGAAGGGGCAACUGGAAUUCUCGGUGUAGCGGUGAAAUGCGUAGAUAUCGUAAGGAAGACCAGUGGCGAAGGCGGGUCUCUGGACAGUUCCUGACGCUGAGGCACGAAGGCCAGGGGAGCAAACAGG
rnacentral:rRNA from 1 species